rnacentral:rRNA from 1 species
AGCGAACGCUGGCGGCGGGCCUAACACAUGCAAGUCGAACGAACCCUUCGGGGUUAGUGGCGGACGGGUGAGUAACACGUGGGAACGUGCCUUUAGGGUCGGAAUAACUCAGGGAAACUUGGGCUAAUACCGAAUGUGCCCUUCGGGGGAAAGAUUUAUCGCCUUUAGAGCGGCCCGCGUCUGAUUAGCUAGUUGGUGAGGUAAUGGCUCACCAAGGCUACGAUCAGUAGCUGGUCUGAGAGGAUGACCAGCCACAUUGGGACUGAGACACGGCCCAAACUCCUACGGGAGGCAGCAGUGGGGAAUCUUGCGCAAUGGGCGAAAGCCUGACGCAGCCAUGCCGCGUGGAUGAUGAAGGUCUUAGGAUUGUAAAAUCCUUUCACCGGUGAAGAUAAUGACUGUAGCCGGAGAAGAAGCCCCGGCUAACUUCGUGCCAGCCGCCGCUGUAACAC